GACGAACGCUGGCGGCGCGCCUAACACAUGCAAGUCGAACGAGCGAGAGAGAGCUUGCUUUCUCAAGCGAGUGGCGAACGGGUGAGUAACGCGUGAGGAACCUGCCUCAAAGAGGGGGACAACAGUUGGAAAUGACUGCUAAUACCGCAUAACCCGCUAGGGCCGCAUGGCCUAGACGGAAAAGAUUUAUCGGUACGAGAUGGACCCGCGUCUGAUUAGCUAGUUGGUGAGGUAACGGCCCACCAAGGCGACGAUCGGUAGCCGGACUGAGAGGUUGAACGGCCACAUUGGGACUGAGACACGGCCCAG
rnacentral:rRNA from 1 species